GCCGCAAUAACAACAAAUACUAAAAACUACGGUACCCUAGAUGGGCGAGUCCGGCUCGCAUUUGUCUGGUAUUAUUUAAAUAUAGGAGGCAAAUGAGGAAAGCCCAUGAACAGAGGUCGUACCUAUCAUAGGAUAAGUAGAUAUAUAUGUACAAAGAAACAGCGCUAUGUUAAGUAGAAUCGAUUUUUUUUAAGUAGGAGCUAAACGAGCAGAACUCAUGAACAGAGUUCGUAUCAUAAGAUUUGUAGAUAUGUACAUAGAAAUGGCGCUAUGUUAAGUAGAAGUUUUUUUUUAAAUAUAGGAGGCAAAUGAGCAGAGCCCAUGAACAGAGGUUGUAUCAUAGGAUAAGUAGAUAUGUACAAAGAAAUGGCACUAUGUUAAGUAGAUUUUUUUUUUUUUAAUAUAGGAGGCAAACGAGCAGAGCCCACGAACAGAGCUGGUAUCAGAAGAUUUAUAGAGAUGUACAAAGGAAUGGCGUUAUGUUAAGUAGAAGUAUUUUUUUUAAUAUAGGAGGCAAACGAGCAGAACCCAUGAACAGAGCUCAUAUCAUAAGAUUUGUAGAGAUGUACAAAGGAAUGGCGUUAUGUUAAGUAGAAGUAUUUUUUUAAAUAUAGGGGGCAAAUGAGCAGAGCCCAUGAACAGAGGUUGUAUCAUAGGAUAAGUAGAUAUGUACAAAGAAAUGGCACUAUGUUAAGUAGAUUUUUUUUUUUAAUAUAGGGGGCAAACGAGCAGAGCCCACGAACAGAGCUCGUAUCAGAAGAUUUAAAGAGAUGUACAAAGGAAUGGCGUUAUGUUAAGUAGAAGUAUUUUUUUUAAUAUAGGAGGCAAACGAGCACAACCCAUGAACAGAGCUCAUAUCAUAAGAUUUGUAGAGAUGUACAAAGGAAUGGCGUUAUGUUAAGUAGAAGUAUUUUUUUAAAUACAGGAGGCAAACGAGCAGAGCCCAUGAACAGAGGUCGUAUCUUAAGAUUUGUAGAUAUGUACAUAGAAAUGGCGCUAUGUUAAGUAGAAGUAUUUUUUUAAAUAUAGGAGGCAUAAGAUCAGAGCCCAGGAACAGAGCUCGUAUCAGAAGAUUUAUAGAGAUGUACAAAGGAAUGGCGUUAUGUUAAGUAGAAGUAUUUUUUUUAAAUAUAGGAGGCAAACGAGCAGAACCCAUGAACAGAGCUCAUAUCAUAAGAUUUGUAGAGAUGUACAAAGGAAUGUAUGACCUCGUAAUUUAUUCACCUCGUAAAUUAUUUGCAGGUGACUAAAUAAACACCUUGUAUAUAUUUGUUGUUGUAUCAACAAAUCAAGCAUUUACAUUAAAAAAGUGAGUGACAUUUAAUUAAGUGGAACUGCUGAUGAAGACCAGACGGAACACCUCAACUACGCGUAUUUCACGUUUGGCGAUAUCUUCUUCGUUGAGAUUGUUCUGCAAGUUAUUUUUUAAGCUUCAUUUUAGUCAAGAUCUAUUUCUGAUAAUGGAUCCCAGGAAUAAUGGAUGAAACUCUUCAAAUAU